rnacentral:rRNA from 1 species
CCCUACGGGGGGCAGCAGUGGGGAAUAUUGCACAAUGGGGGAAACCCUGAUGCAGCGACGCCGCGUGAGUGAAGAAGUAUUUCGGUAUGUAAAGCUCUAUCAGCAGGGAAGAAGAAGGACGGUACCUGAGUAAGAAGCCCCGGCUAACUACGUGCCAGCAGCCGCGGUAAUACGUAGGGGGCAAGCGUUAUCCGGAUUUACUGGGUGUAAAGGGAGCGUAGACGGCAGUGCAAGUCUGGAGUGAAAGGCGGGGGCUCAACCCCCGGACUGCUCUGGAAACUGUACGGCUGGAGUGCAGGAGAGGG